rnacentral:tRNA from 1 species
GAGGGUAUGACUCAGUGGUAGAGUGCAUGCCUAGCAUGCACAACAUCCUGGGUUCAGUCCCCAGCACCUCCA